CCUACGGGCGGCAGCAGUCGAGAAUCAUUCACAAUGGGGGAAACCCUGAUGGUGCGACGCCGCGUUGGGGAAUGAAGGUCUUCGGAUUGUAACCCCCUGUCAUGUGGGAACAAAUUAAAAAGAUAGUACCACAUGAGGAAGAGACGGCUAACUCUGUGCCAGCAGCCGCGGUAAUACAGAGGUCUCAAGCGUUGUUCGGAAUCACUGGGCGUAAAGCGUGCGUAGGCUGUUUCGUAAGUCGGGUGUGAAAGGCGCGGGCUCAACCCGAGGACGGCACAUGAUACUGCGGGACUAGAGUAAUGGAGGGGGAACCGGAAUUCUCGGUGUAGCAGUGAAAUGCGUAGAUAUCGAGAGGAACACUCGUGGCGAAGGCGGGUUCCUGGACAUUAACUGACGCUGAGGCACGAAGGCCAGGGGAGCGAAAGGGAUUAGAUACCCCAGUAGUC
rnacentral:rRNA from 1 species